rnacentral:rRNA from 1 species
GACGUAGGGCGCGAGCGUUGUCCGGAUUUAUUGGGCGUAAAGAGCUCGUAGGCGGCUUGUUGCGUCGGCUGUGAAAACCCGCAGCUCAACUGUUGGGCUUGCAGCCGAUACGGGGCAGGCUUAGAGUUCGGUGAGGGGGGAGACUGGAAUUCCUGGUGUAGCGGUGAAAUGACGCAGAUAUCAGGAGGGAACGACCGGCUGG